GAUUUGUGCAGUUUUCCCUAUUGAUUUUGUUUACGAUUAUUUGGUAUUUACUUACCCCACAUUGACACUCAUUAUUGUGUGCAUUUGGAGCUACUACUGUGGUGUUUUGGUUUAUUAUUCUCUGUCUCCAGGGUUUUCCCCUUGUUUUCAAUUGGGUUUUGAUGGUAUGUUCUUGGUGUGAACAACAACAACAAAUCUAAAUGCUUCAAAAUUUGGGGAAUAGGAAGAAAUACGGCAAAGAGAGCUCAAAAGAUGAAUCUGCAUCUACGCUUCUGAGAGUCUGAAGGAAUCAAAGCUAAGUAGUCAGUGUAAUUUCUUAUGAUGGACCUGUCAACAUAAUGAUUGUGAUUUUGUGUUGUAUUUUGAGACAUAUGAAUGAGUUUAUAUGUUAUAAUUUCUUGCCCCAGAAGUUCUCCUAAGCAUGAUGGUUUGCCGAUUUCCCUUGGACAGAAAAAUUCAGCAAGUAACCGUUUUCCUCUUCCCCUAUCUCUACACUCAAUUUUGGUUCUUAAGUUGUACAUAAGUACAAGGAAUGGGGGCUUUUUUAGUCUUCAGUUUUUUCAUUGGAUUUUUUUAUAUGUGAAGAUCCAAUUUCUUUGAGUAUUCUUACAUUUUCUGCAAUAUCUGAAACUAAACAGUUUGUCACAUGCAGUUCAAUGAUGAUGUUCAUCAUGAAAGGCUCAAUGUUAACAAGGUAGGUUAUAUUACAGUAUUAAAGUUUUGAUAUACUUUUGCUGGGAUUUUAAUACUAUUUUCUGUAUGUCAUAAAGCUGCUUCAAAAUUAUGUGCUUUGUGGAACUAUAUUCCAUCUGUACACAAAAGCGAAGUACCUUUCCGAAUUACAUUUACUGGAUGAAUAGCCAAAAAAAAGAAGUAACAAGGAACAAAUCAAUUACCCUUAAGGGAAGGAUAUGGCUUAUAGAAUGUAUACAAUUGGGAGGUUUUACUUUGUAGAACAAAACAAAAGGCAAAUGGGAGUUUGAAUGCGGAUGGAGGAGGAAAGGCACAUAGUGGAGUAAACAUAGGGAUCACCUAGGAGGAACUGACAAAUUCUUUGCAUAAAUAUGUAGAUAUAUUUAAAAGUACCUGUUUUCAUAUGUAUUACAUAUAAUUAACAAAUGAAUUAUCAGUGGACACAAUAUAUGAGUUAACAUUUUUGAAAGUAGCAUUUCCUCAUCUCUUUUUUAACUUGGGAUCUAGAUGUUGUCCAACCAAGUUUUAACCGUGAUACUAUCUCGAUGGGAGUACACCAACAUUGUAUUACUACGAUAUCCAACAUUGUCAUGGUAGUUGUUUUGCUUUUUGGCACUUCCUGAUCAGCCAUAAAAUUGGAGAAGGCAAGAUAGUGAAUUUGAAUUUUUAAAUCCUAUAUAUAAUUUAUCAGUUAGCACUAGGUCCACAAGGCACUAUUCACCUAUAAUUUGGUCCUCCCUUUGUGAUAUAUAAAAGUGUAGGUCUUAAAGUUAUAUACAUCAAAUGCUAUUUAAGACUCUCAGAGUUAAGCUAUAUAGAUAAACGACAAGUUUGGUGUACUUCAGUCUCUCUGCUUCUUUUUUCACUUACCAAAGAACACAUUUGGGUUAGACUUACUAGCUCUUAGCCUAUUACUACUAAAGUUACUAGGCCAACAAUAAUAAUAAGAGGACUGGAAAGAUGCCGGUGAAAUUAAGCUUCUUUGAGAUGGCUUUCUAUGUAAAUAUGUGCCUUCUAGUUCAGUGUUUUUACAUCUCUAUUUUUUGUGGGUUUAGCAAGAGUUAAACUGGACAGAAGGAAAACUUUCAAAACAUGUGAAGAGCAACCAUUUUUGUACAUGGUAUGUACCAAAUGUUUGAAACCGAUCAGCGCAAUGAAGAAACCGUGUUUGACUACUUUAAUUAUGGUGCCAAAAAGUAGUAAAAGAAUAGCCAAGGUAAUAUUCAGUCCCCAAGAACACCUUUACUCAUAAAACAAAAACUGCAGCAUAUAUGGAUAAAAAUUUAUCGAGAGCAAUGUUUUAGUUCAGUGUACUAUUUAAAUUCUGAGUUUUGGGGUUUUCGAUUGCUGUUUAUGCUUCUUGUUAGUCUGUUGAGUUUUAGCAGUACGUUGAUUGCUGUUUAUGUUCCAUUGUUCGUUUUGGUUCCACUGUCAGUAUGUCAUCUACUAUUUGAUCUAUACAUCUUUGAUGAGGAAGGCUGUCAAGUCAAAUACCCAUGGACAACUACUGCACCUAUUAACCAUCCAAAUGCACCUGCUAAUUGGAAUCCUAUUGAUGCCUAAUGUCGUGCCACCUGUUCCUCUCUAUUCACAGGAUGCUUGCCGACAACAUUUAGAAACUUGGGACAUGAAUUCAGAUUCCUUAAAAAACUAUCAAAUGGAGAUUUAGUGGAACUGGUACUAUUUUUGUAUCCUGGCAUCCGCUAGCCAUUUCGAUUGACUCCCAUAGGCCAGGUAAGUAGUCUCUCUCUCUCUCUCCACAUACACACACACAUUCCUAACUAACCGUCUCUUCUCUCUCUUUGUUUUAAUGGUUGUUCAUAUUGAUUCCACUAGAUAGUUGUUACCUUGGAUUUUAGAUCCCUUUGUUAAAUUUUAUCGUGCCUCUGUUCUUUCUUGACUUUUGGGGUUUCUCUCUAGGUCCUUAGUUUCUCGCCCACAGCCUCGACGAAACUGCCCUGAAUGCCAACAAGUGGAAUGUUGUCUAGGGAGAUAUAUUUGGUCGUGAUUACCUUUCAAAGAUAACCUAAUGGGUUAGUGGGGCUUUCAUUGAUUCUGGUAGGUUUGGUGUAGAACUAUCGACAGUGGAAGUAAGACAUACAAAUCUGCAAGUGGAAACAAAGUGUGAGGUGG